rnacentral:rRNA from 1 species
GUGCCAGCAGCGGCGGUAAUACGUAGGGUGCAAGCGUUGUCCGGAAUUAUUGGGCGUAAAGAGCUCGUAGGCGGUCUGUCGCGUCGAAUGUGAAAACCCGAGGCUCAACCUCGGGCCUGCAUUCGAUACGGGCAGACUAGAGUUCGGUAGGGGAGUCUGGAAUUCCUGGUGUAGCGGUGAAAUGCGCAGAUAUCAGGAGGAACACCGGUGGCGAAGGCGGGACUCUGGGCCGAUAC